CACGGAGGCCCCGAGCGUUGUUCGGAUUUACUGGGCGUAAAGCGUGCGUAGGCGGUUAGGUAAGUCAGGUGUGAAAGCCUGGGGCUCAACCCCAGAACUGCAUCCGAUACUGCCUGACUAGAGGGCUGGAGAGGAGACUGGAAUUCACGGUGUAGCAGUGAAAUGCGUGGAUAACGUGAGGAAGACCAAUGGCGAAGGCAGGUCUCUGGACAGCAUCUGACGCUGAUGCACGAAGGCCGGGGGAGCAAAAAGG
rnacentral:rRNA from 1 species